rnacentral:rRNA from 1 species
AUUGAACGCUGGCGGCAUGCUUUACACAUGCAAGUCGAACGGUAACAGGCCUUCGGGUGCUGACGAGUGGCGAACGGGUGAGUAAUGCAUCGGAACGUACCCAGAGGUGGGGGAUAACGCAGCGAAAGCGGUGCUAAUACCGCAUGUGAUCUGAGGAUGAAAGCGGGGGACCGAGCAGCAAUGUUUGGCCUCGCGCCUUUGGAGCGGCCGAUGUCGGAUUAGCUAGUUGGUGGGGUAAAGGCCUACCAAGGCGACGAUCCGUAGCUGGUCUGAGAGGACGACCAGCCACACUGGGACUGAGACACGGCCCAGACUCCUACGGGAGGCAGCAGUGGGGAAUUUUGGACAAUGGGCGCAAGCCUGAUCCAGCAAUGCCGCGUGCGGGAAGAAGGCCUUCGGGUUGUAAACCGCUUUUGGCAGGAACGAAACGGUGUCCGCUAAUACCGGGCGCUAAUGACGGUACCUGCAGAAUAAGCACCGGCUAACUACGUG